GCUCCUAGUGAGUGGUGUGAGGGCAGGAGAGUCUAGGCAGAAACUGGGCUCUUCUGAUUGAAAUGCUUUACUGCUUUCUCAGAUGUGGCCAGCAUUGUUCCUGUCUCCUUCGCCUCCCAGAAUGACUAGUGCUUGAGACUACAAUCCUGAAUGGUUUGCUUAAGUUCACUCCCUCUUCUGAGAACAGGAAGUCAAAAGGUGAGUGACAGAGCCACCUGCUGCUCUCUCCUUUGCAUAGGUCUAACAGGAGCCUGGGUGAGCUCCUUGGAUGGCUGGUGAACAGGAGCACCUUAUCUAUCUGGGAGGUACGAAGGCAAAGGUUGUACUGUUAAUUUGCACCUCAACACAACCAACCUUAACCUUCACUCCACAGACUCACAGUGUUGGAGAAAGCUCCCCUAAGCAGCCAAGAAGGUACCAAAGAGAAGAGAUCUCUUCUGCCAUCAGAAGUUUGGAGUUGAACUUGACAUUUCUGGGAUCCUGUUUCGUUAGUUUAUAAUCAGAGGCUCUUUGUUCUGUUCAGAGAACCCACUGCCCUCCUCUGCUGGGCGAGGCUU
rnacentral:lncRNA from 1 species